GGGAUACCAUGUUCAAGUGAACGUGGUAUCUC
rnacentral:misc_RNA from 1 species